AGCGUACACGGUGGAUGCCCUGGCAGUCAGAGGCGAUGAAGGACGUGCUAAUCUGCGAUAAGCGUCGGUGAGGUGAUAUGAACCGUUAUAACCGGCGAUUUCCGAAUGGGGAAACCCAGUGUGUUUCGACACACUAUCAUUAACUGAAUCCAUAGGUUAAUGAGGCGAACCGGGGGAACUGAAACAUCUAAGUACCCCGAGGAAAAGAAAUCAACCGAGAUUCCCCCAGUAGCGGCGAGCGAACGGGGAGGAGCCCAGAGCCUGAAUCAGUGUGUGUGUUAGUGGAAGCGUCUGGAAAGGCGUGCGAUACAGGGUGACAGCCCCGUACACAAAAAUGCACAUAUUGUGAGCUCGAUGAGUAGGGCGGGACACGUGGUAUCCUGUCUGAAUAUGGGGGGACCAUCCUCCAAGGCUAAAUACUCCUGACUGACCGAUAGUGAACCAGUACCGUGAGGGAAAGGCGAAAAGAACCCCGGCGAGGGGAGUGAAAAAGAACCUGAAACCGUGUACGUACAAGCAGUGGGAGCCUCUUAAUGGGGUGACUGCGUACCUUUUGUAUAAUGGGUCAGCGACUUAUAUUCUGUAGCAAGGUUAACCGAAUAGGGGAGCCGAAGGGAAACCGAGUCUUAACUGGGCGUUAAGUUGCAGGGUAUAGACCCGAAACCCGGUGAUCUAGCCAUGGGCAGGUUGAAGGUUGGGUAACACUAACUGGAGGACCGAACCGACUAAUGUUGAAAAAUUAGCGGAUGACUUGUGGCUGGGGGUGAAAGGCCAAUCAAACCGGGAGAUAGCUGGUUCUCCCCGAAAGCUAUUUAGGUAGCGCCUCGUGAAUUCAUCUCCGGGGGUAGAGCACUGUUUCGGCAAGGGGGUCAUCCCGACUUACCAACCCGAUGCAAACUGCGAAUACCGGAGAAUGUUAUCACGGGAGACACACGGCGGGUGCUAACGUCCGUCGUGAAGAGGGAAACAACCCAGACCGCCAGCUAAGGUCCCAAAGUCAUGGUUAAGUGGGAAACGAUGUGGGAAGGCCCAGACAGCCAGGAUGUUGGCUUAGAAGCAGCCAUCAUUUAAAGAAAGCGUAAUAGCUCACUGGUCGAGUCGGCCUGCGCGGAAGAUGUAACGGGGCUAAACCAUGCACCGAAGCUGCGGCAGCGACACUAUGUGUUGUUGGGUAGGGGAGCGUUCUGUAAGCCUGUGAAGGUGGCCUGUGAGGGUUGCUGGAGGUAUCAGAAGUGCGAAUGCUGACAUAAGUAACGAUAAAGCGGGUGAAAAGCCCGCUCGCCGGAAGACCAAGGGUUCCUGUCCAACGUUAAUCGGGGCAGGGUGAGUCGACCCCUAAGGCGAGGCCGAAAGGCGUAGUCGAUGGGAAACAGGUUAAUAUUCCUGUACUUGGUGUUACUGCGAAGGGGGGACGGAGAAGGCUAUGUUGGCCGGGCGACGGUUGUCCCGGUUUAAGCGUGUAGGCUGGUUUUCCAGGCAAAUCC
rnacentral:rRNA from 1 species